rfam:Ficedula albicollis isolate OC2 chromosome 5, whole genome shotgun sequence.
GGUUCUUCCCCCUCUCCGGGGCAGCCUCCCCGCACCCGGAGACCGCCGGGCCAUCCCUGUACCGUAAAUCUUGGGAACGCUGGAACUAAUUACGGAGAGGAUAUGUCUCAAUUUGUUCCGCAUUAGUGCCGCGCCGGGACGCAGGCACCGAGCACGGGAAAUUGAUGGGCCCGG